AUGGCUCAGAGUGAACGCUGGCGGCAGGCCUAACACAUGCAAGUCGAACGGCAGCACAGAGGAGCUUGCUCCUUGGGUGGCGAGUGGCGGACGGGUGAGGAAUACAUCGGAAUCUGCCUUGUCGUGGGGGAUAACGUAGGGAAACUUACGCUAAUACCGCAUACGACCUACGGGUGAAAGCGGAGGACCGCAAGGCUUCGCGCGACAAGAUGAGCCGAUGUCGGAUUAGCUAGUUGGCGGGGUAAAGGCCCACCAAGGCGACGAUCCGUAGCUGGUCUGAGAGGAUGAUCAGCCACACUGGAACUGAGACACGGUCCAGACUCCUACGGGAGGCAGCAGUGGGGAAUAUUGGACAAUGGGCGCAAGCCUGAUCCAGCCAUGCCGCGUGGGUGAAGAAGGCCUUCGGGUUGUAAAGCCCUUUUGUCCGGAAAGAAAAGCUUUCGGCUAAUACCCGGAAGUCCUGACGGUACCGGAAGAAUAAGCACCGGCUAACUUCGUGCCAGCAGCCGCGGUAAUACGAAGGGUGCAAGCGUUACUCGGAAUUACUGGGCGUAAAGCGUGCGUAGGUGGUUCGUUAAGU
rnacentral:rRNA from 1 species